UUUGAUCCUGGCUCAGGACGAACGCUGGCGGCGUGCUUAACACAUGCAAGUCGAACGAUGAAGCCCUUUGGGGUGGAUUAGUGGCGAACGGGUGAGUAACACGUGGGCAAUCUGCCCUUCACUCUGGGACAAGCCCUGGAAACGGGGUCUAAUACCGGAUAACACUCUGUCUCGCAUGGUACGGGUUUAAAAGCUCCGGCGGUGAAGGAUGAGCCCGCGGCCUAUCAGCUUGUUGGUGGGGUGAUGGCCUACCAAGGCGACGACGGGUAGCCGGCCUGAGAGGGCGACCGGCCACACUGGGACUGAGACACGGCCCAGACUCCUACGGGAGGCAGCAGUGGGGAAUAUUGCACAAUGGGCGAAAGCCUGAUGCAGCGACGCCGCGUGAGGGAUGACGGCCUUCGGGUUGUAAACCUCUUUCAGCAGGGAAGAAGCGAAAGUGACGUACUC
rnacentral:rRNA from 1 species